rnacentral:rRNA from 1 species
UGGGAAGUAUUGCAUCAAUGGCAGGCAAGCCAUGACUGCAGCCAUGCCGCGCUGUAUGAAGAAGGCCAAUUCGGGCUUUGGUUAAAGAUACUUUCAGCGAGGAGGAAGGUGUUGUGGUUAAUAACCGCAGCAAUUGACGUUACUCGCAGAAGAAGCACCGGCUAACUCCGUGCCAGCAGCCGCGGUAAUACGGAGGGUGCAAGCGUUAAUCGGAAUUACUGGGCGUAAAGCGCACGCAGGCGGUCUGUCAAGUCGGAUGUGAAAUCCCCGGGCUCAACCUGGGAACUGCAUCCGAAACUGGCAGGCUAGAGUCUUGUAGA